ACAGGAUUAGAUACCCUGGUAGUCCACGCUGUAAACGAUGAGGACUAAAUGUUGGUAGGGGAACCUAUCGGUAUUGAAGCUAACGCGAUAAGUCUUCCGCCUGGGAAGUACGGCCGCAAGGUUGAAACUCAAAUGAAUUGACGGGGGCCCGCACAAGCGGUGGAGCAUGUGGUUUAAUUCGAUGCAACGCGAAGAACCUUACCUACCCUUGACAUCCUGCGAAUCCCGAUGAGAGUUGGGAGUGCCGCAAGGAGCGCAGAGACAGGUGCUGCAUGGCUGUCGUCAGCUCGUGUUGUGAGAUGUUGGGUUAAGUCCCGUAACGAGCGCAACCCUUGUCCUUAGUUGCCAGCAUUUAGUUGGGGACUCUAAGGAGACUGCCGGUGAGGAACCGGAGGAAGGCGGGGACGACGUCAAGUCAUCAUGGCCUUUAUGGGUAGGGCUACACACGUGCUACAAUGGGGCGUACAGAGGGUCGCGAACCCGCGAGGGGGAGCCAAUCUCAUAAAGCGUCUCGUAGUCCGGAUUGGAGUCUGCAACUCGACUCCAUGAAGUUGGAAUCGCUAGUAAUCGCGAAUCAGCAGUGUCGCGGUGAAUACGUUCCCGGGCCUUGUACACACCGCCCGUCACGUCAUGGAAGUGGAGGUACCAGAAGUGGGAGCUAACCGCAAGGGAGGCGCUUACCACGGUAUGAUUCAUGACUGGGACGAAGUCGUAACAAGGUAGCCGU
rnacentral:rRNA from 1 species